rnacentral:Y_RNA from 1 species
GGUUGGUCCGAAGGUGGUGAGUUACCUCAUUUGAUUAUUCACAGUUACAGACUGAACCCCUUGUUCUACUUCUUUCCCCCUUCUCACUACUGUACUUGACUAGUCUUAA